rnacentral:rRNA from 1 species
UACGGGGGGGGCAAGCGGUUUGUUCGGAAUUACUGGGCGUAAAGGGCUCGUAGGCGGCCAACUAAGUCAGACGUGAAAUCCCCAGGCUCAACCUGGGAACUGCGUCUGAUACUGGAUGGCUUGAAUCCGGGAGAGGGAUGCAGAAUUCCAGGUGUAGCGGUGAAAUGCGUAGAUAUCUGGAGGAAUACCGGUGGCGAAGGCGGCAUCCUGGACCGGCAUUGACGCUGAGGAGCGAAAGCCAGGGGAGCAAACGGG